UACGUAGGGUGCAAGCGUUAAUCGGAAUUAUUGGGCGUAAAGCGCACGUAGGCGGCUUAGCAAGUCGGAAGUGAAAUCCCUCGGCUCAACCAAGGAAGUGCUUUCGAAACUGCUGAGCUUUGAGUACUUAAGAGGAUCGCGGAAUUCCCGGUGUAGAGGUGAAAUUCGUAGAUAUCGGGAGGAACACCAGUGGCGAAGGCGGCGAUCUGGGAAGAUACUGACGCUGAGGUGCGAAAGCGUGGGGAGCAAACAGG
rnacentral:rRNA from 1 species